UAGCUGGGUGCUGGACGUUAGGACUGCCGGUGUAGAUUUUCAUGCCUUUUGUAAACGGUAUUGUGGAUUUUUGUUUAGUUGACUCGACUUGGCAUUAGGCCAGGACCGGUCUUGAAUUAUAUCAAUGUAUAGAUAUUUCUCGAAUUAAUAAAGUAAUUGUUUUAUAUGCGCUUCAUGAGUACUCUGAUAUUUGACUAGUCCGGUCUAACACAACGUUAGGUCGUAGUACGGGUUGAAAAUCCUUAGGCCUUGAUCUAACAGAAAACGCUAACUCUAGGUAUGGGUUGCAAACCCUUGUGCCUUGACGCAGCGGGACGAGUUAGUGGAUGAACUGGUCUAGGUCGUGGAGUAAAGUUUGUGACUCUGACUGGAUCGUCCCUAGCCCGUCACGUAGAGCUUCCGGACCAUGGUGUUGGGUUGGACGGUCAGUCAUGUUCUUGUUUGGUUGUUGGCUGGCCGGUCGGCUCAUUCAUCUCUAACCCUGGGUGUUGGACGGUCGAUCAAUCAUGUUCUUGUUUGAUUGUUGGCCGGUUGAUUGACCAUAUGUCUAGGACAGUUCGGGGGUGUUACAGUCGGGGGCAUUCGUAUUUCAUAGUCAGAGGUGAAAUUCUUCGAUUUAUGAAAGACGAACAACUGCGAAAGCAUUUGCCAAGGAUGUUUUCAUUAAUCAAGAACGAAAGUUGGGGGCUCGAAGACGAUCAGAUACCGUCCGAGUCUCAACCAUAAAUGAUGCCGACCAGGGAUCAGCGGAUGUUGCUUUUAGGACUCCGCUGGCACCUUAUGAGAAAUCAAAGUUUUUGGGUUCCGGGGGGAGUAUGGUCGCAAGGCUGAAACUUAAAGGAAUUGACGGGCAGGCACCACCAGAAGUGGAGCCUGCUGCUUAAUUUGACUCAACACGGGGAAACUUACCAGGUCCAGACAUAGUAAGGAUUGACAGACUGAGAGCUCUUUCUUGAUUCUAUGGGUGGUGGUGCAUGGCCGUUCUUAGUUGGUGGAGUGAUUUGUCUGGUUAAUUCCGUUAACGAACGAGACCUCAGCCUGCUAACUAGCUACGUGGAGGCAUCCCUUCACGGCCGGCUUCUUAGAGGGACUAUGGCCGUUUAGGCUAAGGAAGUUUGAGGCAAUAACAGGUCUGUGAUGCGCUUAGAUGUUUUGGGCCGCACAUGCGCUACACUGAUGUAUUCAACGAGUUCACACCUUGGCCGACAGGCCUGCGUAAUCUUUGAAAUUUCAUCGUGAUGGGGAUAGAUCAUUGCAAUUGUUGGUCUUCAACGAGGAAUUCCUAGUAAGCGCGAGUCAUCAGCCCGCGUUGACUACGUCCCUGCCCUUUGUACACACCACCUGUCGCUCCUACUGAUUGAAUGAUCGGAUCGCGGCGACGUGGGUGGUUUGCCGUCUGCGACGUCGCGAGAAUUCCACUAAACCUUAUAAU
rnacentral:rRNA from 1 species